AACGGACGCUGGCGGCAGGCUUAACACAUGCAAGUCGAACGCCCCGCAAGGGGAGUGGCAGACGGGUGAGUAACGCGUGGGAAUCUACCUAGUUCUACGGAACAACAGUUGGAAACGACUGCUAAUACCGUAUACGCCCUACGGGGGCAAGAUUUAUCGAAAUUAGAUGAGCCCGCGUAAGAUUAGCUAGUUGGUGGGGUAAUAGCCUACCAAGGCGACGAUCUUUAGCUGGUCUGAGAGGAUGAUCAGCCACACUGGGACUGAGACACGGCCCAGACUCCUACGGGAGGCAGCAGUGGGGAAUAUUGGACAAUGGGCGCAAGCCUGAUCCAGCCAUGCCGCGUGAGUGAUGAAGGCCUUAGGGUUGUAAAGCUCUUUCACCGAUGAAGAUAAUGACGGCAGUCGGAGAAGAAGCCCCGGCUAACUUCGUGCCAGCCGCCGCGGUAAUAC
rnacentral:rRNA from 1 species